GGCCCUAACUCAGUGGUUGAGCAUCUGCUUUACAUACAGAAGGUCCUAGGUUCAUUUCCAGGUAGGGCUG